UGGCGGCGCGUCUUAAGCAUGCAAGUCGAACGGCAAGAGGUAGCAAUACCUCCUAGAGUGGCGGACGUGGUGAGUAACACGUGGGUGACAUACCCUUCAGAUGGGGAUAGCUAUUAGAAAUAGUAGAUAAUACCGAAUACGAGCACGAGGGGUUAGAGAUCUGUGAGGAAAGGAGCUAAGGCUCCGCUGAAGGAAUGGCCUGCGGCCCAUUAGCUAGUUGGUGAGGUAAGAGCCCACCAAGGCGAUGAUGGGUAUCCGGCCUUAGAGGGUGAACGGACACAUUGGGACUGAGAUACGGCCCAGACUCCUACGGGAGGCAGCAACUAAGAAUAUUCCGCAAUGGACGAAAGUCUGACGGAGCGACGCCGCGUGGAUGAAGAAGGCCGGAAGGUUGUAAAAAUCCUUUUGAAACUGAAGAAUAAGCGUUGUAGGGAAUAACAGCGUGGUGACAGUAGGUUUUGAAUAAGCAACGGCUAAUUACGUGCCAGCCGCAGC
rnacentral:rRNA from 1 species